CGCUGGAAAUGGAUGGGCUCAAUUCGUGGCUAAAGUCUAUCCCAUAAUAUCGCAUAUUAUCCCAUAUUCUGUGCAACAGGACUGAACUUUUGAGGACAAGAGGAGUUUAAGAAGGAAAGAGGAACUUCUCACCUAUUCACAACUUCCUCUGCUUUACCAGGAUCUCUUCCACGUCUCACCAAAAUUUGUGAAAAUGUCCAACAACUAGAAGAUCACAUCCACAGAGAGAACCUGCUUUCCUUGAUGUGAUACAUCG